rnacentral:rRNA from 1 species
GAACGUACGCUGGCGGCACGCCUAACACAUGCAAGUCGAACGAAGUAGCAAUACUUAGUGGCAGACGGGUGAGUAACAUGUAGGUAUCUGCCCUUUGGCCUGGAAUAACACGAGGAAACUUGUGCUAAUACCGGAUAAGUCUUUACGGAGAAAGCUUUAUGCACCAUUGGAUGAGCCUGCACUUGAUUAGUUUGUUGGUGGGGUAAUGGCCUACCAAGACUGUGAUCAAUAGCUGAUUUGAGAGGAUGAUCAGCCACAUUGGGACUGAGACACGGCCCAAACUCCUACGGGAGGCAGCAGUGGGGAAUCUUGCACAAUGGAGGAAACUCUGAUGCAGCGAUGCCGCGUGAGUGAAGAAGGCCCUUGGGUUGUAAAGCUCUUUCGUCGGGGAAGAAAAUGACUGUACCCGAAUAAGAAGGUCCGGCUAACUUCGUGCCAGCAGCCGCGGUAAUACGAAGGGACCUAGCGUAGUUCGGAAUUACUGGGCUUAAAGAGUUCGUAGGUGGUUGAAAAAGUUAGUGGUGAAAUCCCAGAGCUUAACUCUGGAACUGCCAUUAAAACUUUUCAGCUAGAGUAUGAUAGAGGAAAGCAGAAUUUCUAGUGUAGAGGUGAAAUUCGUAGAUAUUAGAAAGAAUACCAAUUGCGAAGGCAGCUUUCUGGGAUCAUUACUGACACUGAGGAACGAAAGCAUGGGUAGCGAAGAGGAUUAGAUACCCUCGUAGUCCAUGCCGUAAACGAUGUGUGUUAGACGUUGGAAAUUUAUUUUCAGUGUCGCAGGGAAACCGAUAAACACACCGCCUGGGGAGUACGACCGCAAGGUUAAAACUCAAAUGAAUUGACGGGGACCCGCACAAGUAGUGGAGCAUGUGGUUUAAUUCGAAGAUACGCGCAGAACCUUACCAACACUUGACAUGUUCGUCGCGACUCUAAGAGAUUAGAGUUUUCGGUUCGGCCGGACGAAACACAGGUGCUGCAUGGCUGUCGUCAGCUCGUGUCGUGAGAUGUUGGGUUAAGUCCCGCAACGAGCGCAACCCUCACUUUUAGUUGCCAUCAUUAAGUUGGGCACUCUGAAAGAACUGCCAGUGAUAAGCUGGAGGAAGGUGGGGAUGACGUCAAGUCCUCAUGGCCCUUACGUGUUGGGCUACACACGUGCUACAAUGGUAUCUACAACAGGAAGCAAAACUGCGAAGUUAAGCAAAUCCCUAAAAGAUACCUCAGUUCGGAUUGCACUCUGCAACUCGAGUGCAUGAAGCUGGAAUUACUAGUAAUCGUGGAUCAGCGUGCCACGGUGAAUGCGUUCCCGGGUCUUGUACACACCGCCCGUCA